UAACCACUCAAGCCUAGCUUGGUCUUGGGGUUCGCGGUCUCGCGGCCCCUAAAAUCAGUGGCGGUGCUGCCUAGCUCUAAGUGUAGUAAUUCUCUCGCUACAGGGUCUAGGUGGUUACUUGCCAGAAACCCCCCUUAUUUUUCUAC
rnacentral:misc_RNA from 1 species